rnacentral:rRNA from 1 species
AUUGAACGCUGGCGGCAGGCCUAACACAUGCAAGUCGAACGAGUGGCGGACGGGUGAGUAAUGUCUGGGAAACUGCCUGAUGGAGGGGGCUAACUACUGGAAACGGUAGCUAAUACCGCAUACCAUCAGAUGUGCCCAGGUGGGAUUAGCUAGUUGGUGGGGUAACGCCUCACCAGGGCGACGAUCCCUAGCUGGUCUGAGAGGAGGACCAGCCACACUGGAACGGAGACACGGUCCAGACGCCUACGGGACGCAGCAGUGGUGAAUAUUGCACAAUGGGCGCAAGCCUGAUGCAGCCAUGCCGCGUGUAUGAAGAAGGCCGUCGGGUUGUAAAGUACUUUCAGCGGGGAGGCGUUACCCGCAGAAGAAGCACCGGCUAACUCCGUGCCAGCAGCCGCGGUAAUAC